rnacentral:rRNA from 1 species
GACGAACGCUGGCGGCGUGCUUAACACAUGCAAGUCGAACGGUAAGGCCCUUCGGGGUACACGGGUGGCGAACGGGUGAGUAACACGUGGGUGAUCUGCCCUGCACUUCGGGAUAAGCCUGGGAAACUGGGUCUAAUACCGGAUAGGACCACUGCCUGCAUGGGUGGUGGUGGAAAGCUUUUGCGGUGUGGGAUGGGCCCGCGGCCUCUCAGCUUGUUGGUGGGGUGAUGGCCUACCAAGGCGACGACGGGUAGCCGGCCUGAGAGGGUGACCGGCCACACUGGGACUGGGAUACGGCCCAGACUCCUACGGGAGGCAGCAGUGGGGAAUAUUGCACAAUGGGCGCAAGCCUGAUGCAGCGACGCCGCGUGAGGGAUGACGGCCUUCGGGUUGUAAACCUCUUUCAGCACCGACGAAGCGCAAGUGACGGUAGGUGCAGAAGAAGGACCGGCCAACUACGUGCCAGCCGCCGCAGUAA